rnacentral:misc_RNA from 1 species
GAUGAAGAACGUAGCGAAAUGCGAUAAGUAAUGUGAAUUGCAGAAUUCAGUGAAUCAUCGAAUCUUUGAACGCACAUUGCGCCCGCCAGUAUUCUGGCGGGCAUGCCUGUUCGAGCGUCAUUUCAACCAUCAAGCCCCCGGGCUUGUGUUGGGGACCUGCGGCUGCCGCAGGCCCUGAAAAGCAGUGGCGGGCUCGCUGUCACACCGAGCGUAGUAGAUUUUAUCUCGCUCUGGGCGUGCUGCGGGUUCCGGCCGUUAAACCACCCUUUUAACCCAAGGUUGACCUCGGAUCAGGUAGGAAGACCCGCUGAACUUAAGCAUAUCAAUAAGCGGGGA